GCCUCCUUAGCUCAAUCGGUAGAGCAGUUGACUCUUAAUCAAUUGGUUCGGGGUUCGAGUCCCCGAGGGGGUACCA
rnacentral:tRNA from 1 species